rnacentral:tRNA from 1 species
GGUGGGGUUCCCGAGCGGCCAAAGGGAGCAGACUGUAAAUCUGCCGUCAUCGACUUCUAAGGUUCGAAUCCUUCCCCCACCACCA